GACGGGUGAGUAAUGUCUGGGAAACUGCCUGAUGGAGGGGGAUAACUACUGGAAACGGUAGCUAAUACCGCAUAACGUCGCAAGACCAAAGAGGGGGACCUUCGGGCCUCUUGCCAUCGGAUGUGCCCAGAUGGGAUUAGCUUGUUGGUGGGGUAACGGCUCACCUAGGCGACGAUCCCUAGCUGGUCUGAGAGGAUGACCAGCCACACUGGAACUGAGACACGGUCCAGACUCCUACGGGAGGCAGCAGUGGGGAAUAUUGCACAAUGGGCGCAAGCCUGAUGCAGCCAUGCCGCGUGUAUGAAGAAGGCCUUCGGGUUGUAAAGUACUUUCAGCGGGGAGGAAGGGAGUAAAGUUAAUACCUUUGCUCAUUGACGUUACCCGCAGAAGAAGCACCGGCUAACUCCGUGCCAGCAGCCGC
rnacentral:rRNA from 1 species